rnacentral:rRNA from 1 species
CAAUAGCGUAUAUUAAUGUUGUUGCAGUUAAAAAGCUCGUAGUUGGAUUCCUGACCUGGGGUAGCCGGUCCGCCUUGCAAAAGGUGCGCACUGAGCGGCCUCGGUCAUCCUUGAGAAGAGCGGUCCUGGCAUUCAGUUGUCGGGGUCGGGAUUCUUGACGUUUACUGUGAAAAAAUCAGAGUGUUCAACGCAGGCUUACGCCUUGAAUACAUUAGCAUGGAAUAAUGAGAUAGGACCUUGGCGGUCUAUUUUGUUGGUUUGCACGCCGAGGUAAUGAUUAAAAGGGACGGUUGGGGUUCUUCGUAUUCAAUUGUCAGAGGUGAAAUUCUUGGAUUUAUGGAAGACGAACUGCUGCGAAAGCGUCGAACAAGGACGUUCUCAUUAA